AAUUUUGUUUCUCGUUUAGUAUAAAACUCGGUUUUAAAGACAAAUUAGGAUUUAAACUUCAAACUCAGGUGGGUUCCCUGAGUGGGGGUAUACCCUUAGCCUUCGGCCUUGAGGGUGGGAAGAGUUUCCUACAUCCUCUACGUCCGAAGAACUAGUAUCGCUUAAUUCUUUAUUUGCUUAAAAAAUAAAAAUAAAGAUUUAAACUCCAAAAUUUGGAUGUAUGUACAGACUGGUGAAUCUCUUAACUACUAUAGUUACUAGCAUCGACAAGAAGCUCAAUGCUUAAUAAUAUCAAUGGUGACUACUCCUAGUUUCCGGGCAGGACCUUGAUUGUGACUAUACUUCCCUAGCUAGCUAACUUGUCAGAGACUCAGACUCAUCUAUUCUUCUUAGACAGACCAGAGUACAACAAUCAAACAUAUUGUAAUGUGUGUUGAACAAUGGAAGUAAAACAACACGUACAGAAUUGGUUAUGGUAUGAGUUAUUAACACGUUGGAUAGACAAACUCAAAGGGACUUCAAAUGAGGAUGCAACCUCUAACUAGGCACCUUGAGCUGGCAGGCCAUCCUUUUGUUGUCCAAGAUGGGACACAAAACUGCCAUAUCUAGUUAUCUACCAUGAGUAAGAUUGACACGACCCACCCCGAAUUUCACCCUGAAACCCAGAGUAAGUCGUGCGGGGACCACCUCCAAGGAAAAUUUACUGAAAAGAUUAAGCAAAUCUCCCUUGCAGAUGGACAACCCUAAGUCGAAAAUUUCAUAUUACACUUCUGAACUUUACAUAAUAUACAAAAAUUCUAAAGUAUUCAGAGCUACUAAACACAAGCGGAAGCAAGAAAACACGAGUAGGUUGAACAGGUAACCUACUGAUGAAAACUGGCCGAAAAGCGGGUGACUAUGCCUCGUCUCCUACUAGAUCCAACCCGAACUCUGCAGACUGGGCAAUUUAAAACGAAGGGCCCAGGGGAAAACAUUUAAUAACGUUAGAGUGAGUGGACAAAAAUAAAUUAAUAAAUAAAAUAUUUAUGUUUCCCCAAAUUAAUUUCUAAGGAAAAAUCGAAUGCAUGCCGCAAGCGAUAAAACCUUUAUCCCAUAAAAUAUCGAGCCUCUCAGACUCUAUAAUAUAUGUAUNNNNNNNN
rnacentral:lncRNA from 1 species